rnacentral:rRNA from 1 species
AGAGUUUGAUCAUGGCUCAGAUUGAACGCUGGCGGCAGGCCUAACACAUGCAAGUCGAGCGGUAACAUUUCUAGCUUGCUAGAAGAUGACGAGCGGCGGACGGGUGAGUAAUGCUUGGGAAUAUGCCUUAGGGUGGGGGACAACAGUUGGAAACGACUGCUAAUACCGCAUAACGUCUACGGACCAAAGGGGGCUUCGGCUCUCGCCCUUAGAUUAGCCCAAGUGGGAUUAGCUAGUUGGUGAGGUAAUGGCUCACCAAGGCGACGAUCCUUAGCUGGUUUGAGAGGAUGAUCAGCCACACUGGAACUGAGACACGGUCCAGACUCCUACGGGAGGCAGCAGUGGGGAAUAUUGCACAAUGGGUGCAAGCCUGAUGCAGCCAUGCCGCGUGUGUGAAGAAGGCCUUAGGGUUGUAAAGCACUUUCAGUAAGGAGGAAAGGUUAGUAGUUAAUACCUGCUAGCUGUGACGUUACUUACAGAAGAAGCACCGGCUAACUCCGUGCCAGCAGCCGCGGUAAUACGGAGGGUGCGAGCGUUAAUCGGAAUUACUGGGCGUAAAGCGUACGCAGGCGGUUUGUUAAGCGAGAUGUGAAAGCCCCGGGCUCAACCUGGGAACUGCAUUUCGAACUGGCAAACUAGAGUAUGAUAGAGGGUGGUAGAAUUUCAGGUGUAGCGGUGAAAUGCGUAGAGAUCUGAAGGAAUACCGAUGGCGAAGGCAGCCACCUGGGUCAAUACUGACGCUCAUGUACGAAA